AUUGAACGCUGGCGGCAGGCCUAACACAUGCAAGUCGAGCGGAUGAAGAGUACUUGCACUCCGAUUCAGCGGCGGACGGGUGAGUAAUGCCUAGGAAUCUGCCUGGUAGUGGGGGACAACGUUUCGAAAGGAACGCUAAUACCGCAUACGUCCUACGGGAGAAAGUGGGGGAUCUUCGGACCUCACGCUAUCAGAUGAGCCUAGGUCGGAUUAGCUAGUUGGUGAGGUAAAGGCUCACCAAGGCGACGAUCCGUAACUGGUCUGAGAGGAUGAUCAGUCACACUGGAACUGAGACACGGUCCAGACUCCUACGGGAGGCAGCAGUGGGGAAUAUUGGACAAUGGGCGAAAGCCUGAUCCAGCCAUGCCGCGUGUGUGAAGAAGGUCUUCGGAUUGUAAAGCACUUUAAGUUGGGAGGAAGGGCUGUAGGCUAAUAUCCUGCAGUUUUGACGUUACCGACAGAAUAAGCACCGGCUAACUUCGUGCCAGCCGCCGCAGUAACAC
rnacentral:rRNA from 1 species